GGUUGCGAUCAUGUUAACACUAAUGCACCGGAUCCCAUCAGAACUCCGCAGUUAAGCGUGCUUGGGCGAGAGUAGUACUAGGAUGGGUGACCCCCUGGGAAGUCCUCGUGUUGCAACCC
rnacentral:rRNA from 1 species